AUAUUGGAAGGACUUCUUAAAUUGCCAAGGAACAGGGAAUGCACUGACUGUAAAAGCAAGUAGGUAUCUUAGUUGAAUUGUGAUAACGAAUGAUCUUUUAUUUCUAAAGCUGGGGGACAAGGAGCAAGUAGUGGGCACAUGUCAGUUACGGAUACUUCACAAAAUGAGACAUUGGAGGUUGGACCUGGGAAUUUGAAGAUGUCUUUUUCAUCAACAUCUGGACAACUGAAACGUAUAGCGAAUUAUAGAAUAGGGGUGAAAGAUUUGGAUGUGGAACUUGAAAGUACUAAGCAGAAAAGUAAACAAAACCUGCAACAAGCCAUCUUAAUUGAAAGGGAAAGAGUUACUCAAAUGCAAUGGGAUAUGCAAGAACUUUGUAAGAAGUAUUUAGAGAUAGAGUUGAAGCUAAAGUUCAAACAUGUUCCUUUUUUGUAAUUCUUAUGAUAAGUCGAGCAAAGUGAAGUAUUGUUUAUUUAGAAAUGUGACUGUGGGAUGCAUUGUAUGAUUUGAUUGCUAUUUGUAAUAAAUGCAUCAUUUUUUUUCCUGA